AAAGCCUUGCCCCUACCCUAAAAGCCAUGCUUCUACAUAGCUUUUAGCCAUACUUGGCAGCCACCAACUCCCCUAAUUUCAGCCCUCAAACAUCUUUGCAUAGUUGAAGGAAACUCAUGCCUUGCACUUUCCUAGCAACUCAAAUUUAUUUGAUCUCAAAUAUCCUUCAAAUUACUCUCUCGUUCCAGCCUAUCCAUGGACUUUCAAGUAUACAAUAAGAGACCACCAUUCAAAGAACUCUUCCUCAACACACCAUUAUCACAAGGUUUCAUUUUCUUCUUCUUUAAACUACAUGACUUGUUUUUACAAUAUUGAAUGAGACACCUCCAUUACUUUCACAAACACAAAUCACAGCUAGCCAACAAAGAAUCACACCAAUACAUACCUUCACUGAAAUUCAUCUAAAACAACUUUUAUACGAAAAUACAUAUUUAUUCAUAAUCUGUGCAUAUACUUAUAAAUGAAAGCAUGAUUCAUUGAAAAAGAAACGAAAAGAUCUUUAUAAAUGAAGAGUUUUGAAGCCUGUUGAAAAAUGGAGUCUUGAUCUUGAUUUAGCUUGCCUUCAAGUCUGAGGUGUCGAGUUUGUUGGUAGUCUUGCUGAUGAAUCGAGUCAGGGGAGAGUGGAUUGACGGCGGCAGCCACGGCUGCCCCCUGGUCGCCGGAAUUCAAGAGAGAGAACAUGGGUUGGGGCGGUGGCUGGUCUGGGCUGGGUAUUUGUUGAGGUCAGGACGGCGGCAGCCAUGGGUCGCUGUCGCUGGGAUUUUUGAGAGGGAAGCGACUGUUGCGGCUUUGCUGAAAUCGCCGGAAACCAGGGGGAGGCAAUGGAACUCUUCGCCGUUGAAGGAGAGAGGUUCCCGGAGUUUAGUGAGAGAGGAAGAGUUUAGAGGUCGGUGCGUUGUUUGAGUCAGGGAGGCGAGAGGCUUGAGGGGCUCCUCGCCGGAAAUUUCAGGCGGCAGCCUUAGGCGGUGGUAGAUUUGGGGAUCUAGGGGUUUAUGGGAAGAGAGAGACGGCGCCGCCGCUCACAGGUGGGCGGUGGUGACCGAGGUAAAGGAGAGAGGAAGAUGAUGUGGUGAGUCGGGCAGGAGAUGACGGGCGGCGGCUGGUUCGCUGCUUCGCCGGAGAAGAGAGGGAGCCGGGCGGAUCUGUGUGAGCCGAGAGAGAGUUGAGCGGGUUUCAUUUUGAGAGUGAAGAGGGAGAGAACGAAUUCAGUGAGGAAGAAAAGGGUUAGAAGUCAUGGGCUGAGUUUGGGCCUUAACUGAUGGACUUUAUUUUCGUUUUAUUUAAAUUUAGUUGGGCCUUUAUUUUAUUUAAGGAUUUUGGGGUGCAGUUUUGAUUUAAAGGAUUUCGCUCUUAAUUAUUUUAUUUGAUUGGGCUGCAUGUUAUUUAAUUAAAGAAAUGUCUUUAAUUAGUUUAGUAAUUAGACUUUGUAAUUGGUUUAAUUAAUUCAUUAUUAUUUUAAUUAUGAUUUCAUAAUAAUAAUAAUAUAAUUAUUAUGUGUAUAUAUUAAGUGUAAUUACUCAUUACAUGAGUUAAGCAUGAAAUGAAUUUGCAUAUGCAUUUUACAAAGCAUUUAUGAUUUAAAAUUGGCUUUUAUUAAAUCCAAUUAUUAAAGAAAAAAUCGAGUAAAGAUAUUGUUGGUGUCCUUGACUCAAGGAAUUAGAUUACAAUUAUUUAUUUAUUAAAUUUGAAAAUCCGGCGUGAUGAAUCAUAAAAUGUUAAGCACUAAACUAAGACUUAAGAUUAGAUUGAGGAGACAUAUUAAGAAUAGAAUUUCUUGUAGGUUUUGUGGACCAAGGGAUUAGCGGUGCUUUUCCAAGAAAAGUUUAUGUGAUUAUGAUCUUCAGGCUUGCCUAUCCAGGUGGGCUUACUUUCCAAACGUAUAAAGUAUGAUUGAGUUAUUAAGCUUUAAAUGUUUCAAUGAAAUGCAAAUUAUUUAUUCAAUGAAAUGUAAACUGUUUAUCCAAUAAAAUGUUUAUGUACACUCUGCUCUGUUUAAUGCUCGCCACAACGAAUCAAUUGAGGUUCUCUUAUGGCCUAACACGUUAUUUGAGAAUUGUGUACACUCGUUAGCUGACUUGAUGAGUUGAUCUCCAUCGGGCACUAACUAAGAGGUGUUAUAAGGGUGCUUGCUGGAUGUGUUCCGGAGCAUGUAAUGUAAGGCCUGCCUGGGUAGUGUCCCGAGGUCAAAUGAAACUUGUCUGGGUUACGCCCUCAGUUCAAGUAAAUGGGAGAAAUGGAUCCGACAGUGGCUAAAAAGGUCCGAGAUCACAGCGAGUAAUAGAAAGGGAGUGUGACAUGUGCGCACAAAUGAAAGAAAUUAUUUUAGCAUGCUUAGAAGUUCUUUCAAUUUAAAACUUUCUAAGUCAUGUCAAGUAUGAUUGGAUAAACUGUCUUUACGAAAAUAUGAAAUGUUUCAAAAAAUGCAUGCCCACUGAGUACAUUAGUACUUAGCCCAAAAAUACUUUCAAAUGUUUUCAGGUUGGCUAGCCAGUACUGACGGGACUGAGCUGAGGCUAGGGAUCCGUUGUAGCAGUAGAUAAUAUCUUGUCUUUUAUUUUCUCAACUUAAGACUUUUAUGUUAGAUUUAGAAUAACAUCUUUGAUCGAGUUUAAACACUUAACUUCAAAUUUUAUGCGAAUGAAUACUGGUUAUCAGAAGCAUGAAACAAAACUUGUGAUCUAAAGGGGCCUAGCCCGACUUGUUAUUUUAUUAUUCG
rnacentral:lncRNA from 1 species